UCUUAUCAAGAGUGGCGGAGGGACUGGCCCGACGAAGCCCGGCAACCGGUAUAAAUUUAUAUACGGUGCUAAUUCCAGCAGAGUGUUGGCUCUGGUAGAUGAGG
rnacentral:ncRNA from 1 species